UAAAAUAUAUAAUGAAUUUAGCCAUGCUAAAUAAGAGAGCCUAAUUGUUAAUCAAAAAACAUGCCAUUAAAUUAGCCACACUUCAUAAGCGUGGCUAAAUGGUAAUUUAAAAAAAAACUGUACAGUAGAAGUUUCAUCUUCGACCUUCCGAAAUUGUACUCGGCAAAUUGAUUUCUUGGCUUCAUCUUUUCCCAAAUUGCUGCAAAAAACUUCCCACACCCAUAUUAUAACCCUAAUUCUUGUUUUGUGACUUCAUCUCUUCCCACAAGAAUCAAUCCUUUUUUGUUGCUUCCUCUCUUCUAAAGUAAGUAUUUAAAUUAUGAUUUAAUUUUGUUGAUUUGUUUAUUUGGAGUGAUUCAUGAGACUUGAUUUGUUCGUGAUUCAUCUCUUGACAUUCUUUCACUUGUUGCUUCCUUUCAUUUAUGUCACCGGAGCAGUUUCUCGUGUAUAUGUGAUGUGAACCUUCAUCAAUCACUUGUAAUAGUAUUGUUCUCAUUUACUCUGCCAUUUUCCAUUUCUUCUUUAAUCAUAAGUGAUUGCUAUUACUCAUAAGUGAUUGCUAUUACUCAGAUUUGUCGUGUAUAUAUUGAUUUGUCUUUCCCCUUGUUUUUCCAUUUCUUCUUUAAUCAUAAGUGAUUGCUAUGACUCAGAUUUGCUUCUCAUUGUAAUAGUAUUGUUCUCAUUUACUCUGUCAUCGUAUUUGAUUGACGAGAUAAUUAUAAAUGUUAUUAUAUUGUGAGUGUCAUUUUACAAUUAAGAUGGAUUACUAUGUUUUUACUCUCAGUGUCCUUUGAGUUUGUCAUACUACAUUUAAAAAGCUCUUACUUCAAAGCAUCAAAUGUAAGGGACAUAAGAGUAAGGUGAAAAAAAAAAAAAUUCAAUUACAAGUUGAGAUGGACAUCUGGUUUAUCGAGUUGAGUUUUGGUUGAAGAUUUAAUGUUUUUAGGUUUUGUGUGUACCUAAUUCAUUUGUGGACACAAACAUAAAAGAGAAAUGUCACAUUGCCAUCUAGCUGGCAUGGCAUAUAUAGUUUUCACGUGCCAUCUAGCUAAUACACAAAUGUUAGACAAAUUGUUGUGGGCCAAAUUAAAUAAGGCAAGUACAUUUCAUUCACAAUUGUUGUAUGCAUAGAUAGUUCAUAAUAAUUUAAAAAUAUACCUUUUAUGUGUUUAGAUGGCCAAUAAGGAACGUGUACGAGAACCACAAGUACUAAAUACAAGCAAGGAAUGAAUUACUCUCCAAGACAUGUAUCUGUAGCUUUUUGUUUUUGUUUUCUUAUAUGUAGUACGUUUUGCUUUUGUUUGGGAACAAUAUCAAAACAAGGAAUGAAUUAGUUUUCGAGACAUGUUUUUGUGUGUCGUAUUGAGUAUGUUGCUGUUGCUGGUAUAAUAUGGUUAUAAUAGUAUGUAUUCGUGGAAUGGUACUGUUGCUUUGUUACUGAUGUUGGCAGCGAAGAGUUGACGUUCUGGAAGCUGAUGUGAUCGUCUUUGGUAAUGCUUUUUUUUCUAACUCAUGAUCUCUUAGGAAGUUUUCAAUUUGAAUGCUCCCUGAUCUGUGGUCAAGGGUCCUGGUUUUGGUAUGUGUUAUUUGUGCAGGGUUUGUCUUGGGGCUACGGAUUGCAUUGUCAGCAGGUGUGCAGUCUCUGAUAAUGGUGCAACAACUGUGGCUGUGUGUUUCAGUGUUUGGUGCAGCAAGUGCAGGCUGAUUCUGGUGUGGAGCUGUGGCUGUGCUCUAGUGGUGCUGUCAGUACUGGCAGGUCUGCAGUAGCAUUCUGGUUGUGGUGAAUUACUUUUAGUUUCUUUUUGCUUUAUAUCCAUGGUUGAGGGAAAAUGUGAUUUCAUUGUGAAUUAUUUUUGCUGAAUCUUAAAAUUUUUGAGUGAGAUUGUAUUUACUGCCCCAACAUGAGAAGAAAUCCACAACCCGAGGCAGCUACAACAAUACUUGAAAUCACAUCCUGGUGGACCAGUUGGAUUGAGUAAUGCUAAUAAUAACGGUAUAUUGGCACCUUCUACUGGUGGGGAUACUUCUGUUGGGGGUGGAACACCUAGUUAUCAGCAGAAUAGAGGUUUUAUUAGUCAAAAGGGUGCUAUUGUUAAGUAUAAUGCUAAUUAUGUUACUAACUAUUGUUAUUCUGGGACUACUUGGAUUGCUUAUGAUGAUUUACAGACUAUUUCUGUUAAGGUUAUGUAUGCUGAAAACAAUGGUUUACUUGGAUAUUUUACUUGGAAUGUUGUUCAAGAUAUUAAUUGGGCUCUUUCUAAACAAGGUAUGUCUCCACCAUUUUCUUGCUCCUAGGAGUCCUAGCUUUAAUUUUAAAAUUUAUUUUGACUUAGUCCACAAUAAAAUAAUGUGUAAUCUUUUCAUUUAAAGAAUUAAAUUAAGUGAUAGAAAAGUAUAAGCUAUAAAGAUAGAUGCAUAUUAUUUGAGUGGGGACAAAAUUUACCCACUUUGAUAUGUCAAGUAACUUAUCCAAAAGUUUAAAUUGAUAGUUGAGGCUUAUGGUAGGUUUACACAAUUCUCAAAUUAGACUAUUUGAUGGUAAGAUCAUCUCUAUUGUGCUGACCUAAUAUAAAUUUAUUGUUUGAGUGAGAUUGUAAUUAAUUUUGCUUCUGAAUUUGAUUGGGGCACUGGUGACACACCUAGAAGAUCAGCUCGAAUUAGCGAGAAAGCAAAAGCAGCUCCUCCAACUCCUGAAAGUCAUUUUUCCUCACAAAAAACUAUCAUUCCGCAUACACAACAAGGCCAAUUAGGUGUCCUACGCGAAUAACUAUUGUGGGAAUACAAUCUGCUACAAGGCUCUCCUUGUUUAAAGUACAUACAUUUAUGCGGGUGUGUCCAACAA